rnacentral:rRNA from 1 species
UACGGAGGGGGCUAGCGUUGUUCGGAAUUACUGGGCGUAAAGCGCACGUAGGCGGCUUUGCAAGUUAGAGGUGAAAGCCCGGGGCUCAACUCCGGAAUUGCCUUUAAAACUGCAUCUCUAGAAUUGUGGAGAGGUAAGUGGAAUUCCGAGUGUAGAGGUGAAAUUCGUAGAUAUUCGGAAGAACACCAGUGGCGAAGGCGACACACUGGGCCAUUACUGACGCUGAGGCGCGAAAGCGUGGGGAGCAAACAGG